rnacentral:rRNA from 1 species
UACGGAGGGGACUAGCGUUGUUCGGAAUUACUGGGCGUAAAGCGCACGUAGGCGGAUUUGUAAGUCAGGGGUGAAAUCCCGGGGCUCAACCUCGGAACUGCCUUUGAUACUGCAAAUCUCGAGUCCGGAAGAGGUGAGUGGAAUUCCUAGUGUAGAGGUGAAAUUCGUAGAUAUUAGGAAGAACACCGGUGGCGAAGGCGGCUCACUGGUCCGGUACUGACGCUGAGACGCGAAAGCGUGGGGAGCGAACAGG